AUGAGGUGGCUCACGCCUGAAACUGCAGCACUUUGGGAGGCUGAGUUUUUUCCCAGCGUGUCAUCUCAUAGACGCAACAGAGACAGAAGAGCACUGCUGAGUCUUGGAUGCCUCGGGGCUCCUGAAUUCCCAUUGCAUUUGCAUCAAAGAGCUAAAUAAGAACACUGUUCGCGAAAACCAUGCUGUUGCUCAGCCAUCAUCUUCUCAGGGUGAUAGUUUCAAUUGAUGAACGUUAAAAUGUUUGGGGAUUUCACUGGCAACCACAAAAGCACG
rnacentral:lncRNA from 13 species